rnacentral:tRNA from 1 species
GCAGUGGUGUUUCAGAAUUCCCGUCUGCCAUGCAGGGGACAUAGGUUUGAUUCCUAACCAUUGCA